AGCAGGUGCCUUCUGUGCGUAUAAAAUGUUUCCAGCUUCAACUCUCAAAUAUAAGCAAUGUCAAGGUUCUCAAGGACCACUACUAAAAUUGUAAAACAUUAGAGGAGAACUUAAGGCUGUGUAGCUACACUAGAGUUAAGGUACGGCCUUUCAUGAACUCUUCUUGGGCACUCUGUCUCUACUAACAAGCAGGUGCAAGGGAACAAAGAAAGCUUACUUGCCUAUCUCCAUUUUGCAGAUUAUAAACCAUGGGAUCAGUCAAUCUGUCAUGGAUGGAGCUGUUGAAGCAGCUUCAGAUUUCUUCAAACUGCCAAGUGAGACAAAGGAAGAGUUUGCAUCAGACGACCUCCGACGGCCUGUUAGAUAUGACACCAGCUCAAAGGACGGCAUUAGUAUGUCACGGGCAUACCUAAAGCAUUAUGCCCAUCCCCUGAGUGAAUGGAUGCAAUAUUGGCCGGAAAACCCCC
rnacentral:lncRNA from 1 species